rnacentral:rRNA from 1 species
GAGCGCAGGAAGCAAACAGAUCCCUUCGGGGUGACGUUUGUGGAAUGAGCGGCGGACGGGUGAGUAACACGUGGGCAACCUGCCUGUAAGACUGGGAUAACUCCGGGAAACCGGGGCUAAUACCGGAUAACACUUAUUACCACAUGAUGAUAAGUUGAAAGGUGGCUUUUGCUACCACUUACAGAUGGGCCCGCGGCGCAUUAGCUAGUUGGUGAGGUAACGGCUCACCAAGGCAACGAUGCGUAGCCGACCUGAGAGGGUGAUCGGCCACACUGGGACUGAGACACGGCCCAGACUCCUACGGGAGGCAGCAGUAGGGAAUCUUCCGCAAUGGACGAAAGUCUGACGGAGCAACGCCGCGUGAACGAAGAAGGUUUUCGGAUCGUAAAGUUCUGUUGUUAGGGAAGAACAAGUACCGUUCGAAUAGGGCGGUACCUUGACGGUACCUAUCGAGGAAGCCCCGGCUAACUACGUGCCAGCAGCCGCGGUAAUACGUAGGGGGCAAGCGUUGUCCGGAAUUAUUGGGCGUAAAGCGCGCGUAGGCGGUUUUUUAAGUCUGAUGUGAAAUCUUGCGGCUCAACCGCAAGCGGUCAUUGGAAAC